CGGUAUUUGUCCUUCGGGACGGAGAGAGCGGCCUACGGGUGCGGAACACGUGUGCAACCUGCCUUUAUCUGGGGGAUAGCCUUUCGAAAGGAAGAUUAAUACCCCAUAACAUAUGAGACGGCAUCGUAUUAUAAUGAAAACUCCGGUGGAUAGAGAUGGGCACGCGCAAGAUUAGAUAGUUGGUGAGGUAACGGCACACCAAGUCAGUGAUCUUUAGGGGGCCUGAGAGGGUGAUCCCCCACACUGGUACUGAGACACGGACCAGACUCCUACGGGAGACAGCAGUGAGGAAUAUUGGACAAUGGGUGAGAGCCUGACCCAGCCAUCCCGCGUGAAGGACUAAGGCCCUAUGGGAUGUAAACUUCUUUUAUACUGGGAUAAACCUACCUACGUGUAAGUAGCUGA
rnacentral:rRNA from 1 species